AAAUACCACUCAAACUUUGUUGUGUCAUUUUCAUCCACUUGAGGCCAAAUUCUCUUUUCUGUGCUACCCUUUACCCUUUUUUUUAAACAAAUGGCAUUCAUUUACCUUAUAUGUAAAAGUGAGGGUGUACAAGACUCCACAUAUCUCAAGAUGUGUUCAUAAGUCAUAAGAGGGCAGAUUUGUGUACUCAAUUACUUGUUUUGAGUUUGGUAGUCUCGGCCCCCUUGUUCAUAGGACUUAUUUUUAUCAUUAGAGUGCAUAAUACUAUGCAACACAAGGCUCGUCUUGUCUACUCUACUGAAUGUUUAUAACAUUUUCAGCUUGUAAGUCCGCAACAUAUAUAAUUCAUGUACCUCCUUCCUGUCAACUAUGUGUAAAUAUGUUUACUUCACUUUAUCUAAUAAUCGUGCAUAAUACUGUCCUGCAUGCAGGGGUGGUUGGGAGACUUUUGAGAAUAAGAAGAAAUCAGGCCAAGCUUGGAAUGCCCAAUGGAUCUUCGUGUUCUUCAGGAAACAAUUGGGCUCAACCUUCUGACCAUCGGUCCUAUAGGUUGUUGGAGAUAACACCUAGAUCAUGUGUCUCUACAUAUUAUUGAUGUACACUGCUUGCAUCUGAUGCUUACUUACCAUCCCUGAGUCCAUCUCUUAUAGAUUGUAUGAUGCUCCUCCGAUUUAUGUUUUGAUGAUGUUUAGGAUUAAGAAUGGUCUGACAUAUCUGUUAGCUCUCGGUACCAUGAUUUUUAUAAUUAGUUAGAUGAUAUUUGUUCAUAAUGCAUGCUUAUUUUAGCUCUUUUAGUUCAUUUUUACCUAUUAUCACUUGAAUAUCUUUGUUAGAAUAAACCUAACUGUUAUGUAUGUACAUGAAUAUAGUGUAUGUGAAGCUAGUUGUAUAUGUUGUGCAAUUGUAUAGAGCUACUAGUCGUGCUUGGUAUUUUAGUAUUUUUUAUGUUGUAUCUAUUUUUAUGCUAUUAAUUGUGUACCUCUAGCUAGCUGUAUGUAAUGCAAUUAUGUACAUGAACAUAGUGUUACUUUUUUGCAUUGUUUGAACAUUU
rnacentral:lncRNA from 1 species